rnacentral:sRNA from 1 species
UUAUCUGGUCUCUUGUUUCAGUGCCUCUAGGGGAUCCACGUUCAGAAGCUGACUCUGCAGGCGAGACCAACGUUAUUUUCCCGGUGGCUGUGUUCAAAACCACCCAAAGGGUUUGAGAAAUACUUUAAGAGGAGUGGAAGGAACAAACUCAGAAACAUCAACAGCACCAAAAAAAGAGACUGGUGAACUAGAGAAUGCCGAGUCUGGAGGAGAUGGAGGCAGGAGAGGAGGGAAGCGGGAUGACGUUGCCUGGUGGAGGCGGAUGCAGAAGGGGACUUCUGCAAUCUGGCCCUUUUGGGGGCAGGCGUUGCCAUGGGAUUUUUCUACCUCUAUUUUCGAGAUCCUGGAAGAGAAAUCACUUGGAAGCACUUUGUAUAGUAUUACCUGGCCAGAGGUCUGGUGGACCAGCUGGAAAUCCUGAACAAUUUGUGCGUGUUAUUCCUGCCCCUGGGAUCUCUUCUGAAACGUAGCUGGGUGCGAAGAAGCCAAAUUGGAAAUUACGGAAUUUGUGAAUUUCCUGAAGAAUCUCAAGCAGUAUCAGGACUUAGGAGCAAAAAUUCCAAAGGGAGCCAUGCUCAUUGGUCCUCCUGGUACCGGCAAGACCCUUCUUGCCAAAGCAACUGCAGGGGAGGCCACUGUGCCCUUCAUCACUGUGAACGGGUCUGAGUUCCUGGAAAUGUUUGUUGGCGUUGGGCCAGCAAGGGGUGCAACUCUGCCACCAACGUCGUGACGUUGGCUGGCACCAAAUGCCCUGGCAUCCUGGACCCGGCCCUGAUGCGGCCUGGCCGGUUUGAUCGCCAGAUUUACAUUGGUCCCCCUGACAUCAAAGGCAGGGUCCUCCAUCUUUAAGGUCCACCUACGCCCACUGAAGCUGGACGAGAGCCUCAAUAAGGAUGUCCUGGCGAGGAAGCUGGCAGCGCUCACCCCAGGCUUCACUGGUGUCCAUCAUCCCCCGGGGCAAGGGGCUCGGCUACGCACAGUACCUGCCCCGGGAGCAGCAGCUCUACACCCAGCAGCAGCUCUUCGACCGCAUGUGCAUGAUGCUUGGGGGCCGGGUGGCUGAGCAGCUAUGCUUCGGGCAGAUCACUACGGGGGCUCAGGAUGACCUGAGGAAGGUCACCCAGAGCGCCUACGCCCAGGUAAGGGUGGGCAUCCCCCCGCACGGGCUGCAGGAGGCUAUGUUGGGCGCAGGCUCAUCCCGGGUUCCGCACUUGCAGAUUGUGCAGUUUGGGAUGAGUGAGAAGCUGGGCCAGGUGUCCUUCGACUUUCCCCGACAAGGCAAGGCCCUGGUGGAGAAGCCGUACAGCGAGGCAACCGCCCAGCUCAUUGAUGAGGAGGUCCGGCACCUCGUCAGUGCCGCCUACAAGCACACCCUGGACCUGCUGACACAGUGCCGGGAGCAUGUGGAGAAGGUGGGCCAGCGGCUCCUGGAGAAGGAAGUGCUGGAGAAGGCAGACAUGGAGCUGCUGGGCCCCCGGCCAUUCGCGGAGGAGUCUACCUAUGAGGAGUUUGUG